AAUAUUGCACAAUGGGGGAAACCCUGAUGCAGCGACGCCGCGUGAGUGAAGAAGUAUUUCGGUAUGUAAAGCUCUAUCAGCAGGGAAGAAAAUGACGGUACCUGACUAAGAAGCCCCGGCUAACUACGUGCCAGCAGCCGCGGUAAUACGUAGGGGGCAAGCGUUAUCCGGAUUUACUGGGUGUAAAGGGAGCGUAGGUGGCAAAUCAAGUCAGAUGUGAAAGCCCGGGGCUCAACUCCGGGAUUGCAUUUGAAACUGGUAUGCUAGAGUGCAGGAGAGGUAAGUGGAAUUCCUAGUGUAGCGGUGAAAUGCGUAGAUAUUAGGAGGAACACCAGUGGCGAAGGCGGCUUACUGGACUGUAACUGACACUGAGGCUCGAAAGCGUGGGGAGCAAACAG
rnacentral:rRNA from 1 species